GCUUGAAGUGUCAACUUGGAAGAGUCGACACAUAAAACCAAACCAUUUUCGUUUUUGUAUACUUUAAUACUUAACUCCUCCUCUUUACCCAAACCAAACCUAAACUUUGUGUCAAUAAAAUUCUUGCAAUUUGAUCGCAUAUAUACCCCUCAUCCUCUCUCUCUCUCCUCUUUUUCUUCAUAACGAGUUGGCGCAUUUUCUCUUUUCCUUCAGAACGAGUUGGCGCAUAAACAGCAUAAGUCUGAUGAAUUCGAACGCUCCGUCUUCAAGCUCCGGAGCCGCUUCCUAUACCGAUUCUUCAGCACCCAGAAAAAAUUCCAAGCGACCCAAACGUUUGUUUCUCUCCCCAAAUCGUCCUUUUGCUUUUAUUUAAUUUUGAUUUUAGUUUUAAUUUUGCAACUGUUUUGUUUUCCUGUUUCGAUGUAUUAGUGAGCUUGUUUGCAGUGGUUUUUGCAGAUGUUCUUUUGUGAUCUAAUUUGUUCUUUUAUACUUUAAUUGAAAAGUUCUUUGGUUUUCUGUGAGUUCGGAUCCUUGGUUGUGCUAGGUUGAUUUUAGGUUUUACUUGAAACGGUUGCUUGUGUAAACUCAAGAGAUGUAAAUUGGGUUUUACAAUAGGACAACUAAAAUUCACUGCCAGCAACACAAUUUCGGCGAUAAUCUGGAUCUUUUAUGCAUAAUGUGUAUUUCAUUUUUUGGUUAUCCACAUAUAUAUUACCACUGCCUAUGAUGUUAUAUAAUGGGAACACCCUUUAAGCCGUGUCAUUUUUUUCCAGAAAAUAUGCGUAUUUACAAAAGAGGAAAUAAGGAUUUCAUAGACUUUUCGAAACUGCCUAUACGAUUAGGUUUGGUGUUUGGGUUGAGUUUAAAGUUUCUUGAUACAGAAGGCAAACAAACAAAUAGUGUCCAAGUACAAGUUUAUGAUUUGUUUCAAGCAGCAUGGCCAGAUUAGCGGGUUAAAGAAGGCAAAAGGAUGUUAAAUUUGCUUAUUGCUUGACUUCCACGGCUUGAAGAGGCUGUUUAUUUGUUGUAAUCAAGCCGUGGAAGUCAAACAGUAAACAUCUUUUGUCAUCACACAACGGGGACACACGAGUAAAAAUUAUAUUCUUAUAGAUGAGCAUGAAAAAACUACAUGGUUUUUUACAUUAGUUAUCGUGUUUUACCAAAAUAGUAAGAAAUUACAUUUACAAUCAAUAUAUUAUAAGAGAACGAUGAGAAAACAUACCAAAACUAUUUUAGAAAUAUUUUAUAAAAAUACUACUCACUCCGUUCCAAUUUGUUUAUCCAUUUUCACUAUUCUAGAUAUUUGAAAAAAUCAUCUGUAUUUUUUAAUUUAUAUUGUUUUUGGUAAUUUUGAAAACUUUGUAAACAAGAACUAAUUGAGAUUUUGAUUGGUGUAAAAAAUUUUAAAAUAUUAUUCAUAAAUACCAAAAAUUGACAAACAAAUUGGGCAAGAGGGAGUAAAAGUUUUGAGACUUAGAAUUCCGAAAAUACAAAAAUCAGAAGGGGGUGGAUUAAGAGGUAUGGUUAUACAAUUGUUUACAUAUUAUCACAUGAAUCACAGGUUUUUCCAUUUGAUAUUGUAAUGUGUUGCAUGUGUGUCAUGUGAUGGGCUUGUGUGAAGCCCUAAUUGUUCGAGGAGUGUUCAGUUCUAAAAAUAAAAAAUAAUAAGACAUGUUUAUAAAAGUGUCCCACUCGUGUCAGAGAUUGUUAGUACUUCUUAAGUUUGCCAUAUCAAAAUAGUAGGAAUGCAUUUCACAUUCUACAUAUUAGAAACGAUUGUGAACAAAAAGACCAAUAUCUGGUUUUGAGCUUCUUUUUUUUUUCCUUUUUCAUAUACAAAAGUUUUGAGAUUUACAAUUAUAAAAAUUAAAAGGUUUUGAGGAGGAGGGUUUAAUAUGUAUAGUUAUACGUUACGCUUGUUUUAUCAUAGAUCACAUGCUAUUUUCUCUUUCAAGCUUGUAAUGUAUUUCAUGUGUUCAUAACUGGUGGAAACGUGUGUUUCCCAUAUCCAAAGUGUGUAAUUCUAAAAGAUAAAAAUAAAUGAUUGGACAUAUUCAUACUAGUGUUUGACACAUAUCGGAGAGUGUCAGUAUUUGAUAGGUAUCCAAGAAACACAUACCAUCAUCUUAGAAGUGUCCAUGCUUCUUACCUGGGUUGCUUUGUUAAGAAAAUUAAAUAUUGUGUGGUCAUUUGAUUUAUGAAGGAUAAAGAAAUACUUUUUUUUGUACUUUUUUGUUUUUUCCGUGCUUAAUACUUUUUGUUUCCUGUAGCCUGUACCGAGGUACCGAGCCUUGAGAGAUUUGUGGGGUGGGGUGGGGUGGGAGAUGCGGUUGGUGGAAUGAAAAUGCGACUUUUAUAGAGCAGUGAUGUUCUCAGUAAAGAUGGGACAAGAAGUGAACAUGUUUUGAAAUGGAACCGAUUGAAUAUUGUUUAGGUAGUUGGUUGUUUGCAAUAUAAUCCAACCUUGCGCUUCUGUGAAUAAGAGAUUGGAUCAAAGUUGAAGGUGCAAAGGACAAGGGGGACGGCUAAAAACCAAAGUUGGUUGGUGAUAGAGACGUGUUAUUAUUGCCUUCCGGCUUGAAGGAGAGGCUUAAAACAUAGUCAGUGGGAUGAUAUUUGGGAAGCAUCCAAGUGGAUCGGAAAUGUGGUAUAAUUAGUUGAUUAAACUAGUACCUAUCUGAUUAUUUUAUUUAUGAAUUCACAUCUAAAUUUGACUUGAAGUAGUUGGGUUGCUCGCUUGCUAAGGUGGUUCACUUGUAUGGCGGUCAUGGACCCAGGUUGAUAGGUCCUUGGGAAGAUCACAAAACUAGGCUGGCCGGCUCGUGAGCAAUUCCUGAGCUUGGUACCUACUAGAUGGAGAGUAGUGUGGAGUCCUCAGAGAGUGCCAGGUGCGAUGGUCUUCCUGAUACCCAUAGGAUUGAGAGAAGAAAACUCUAUUUUUUGUAUGUUUGACUAACUGUAAAGGUUGUGGGUUAAUCUUUGAAAUCCCCUUCAUGGUUGUAAAAGUUUUGUGAAUCUAAUGAAAAUCCCUUGGUUGAUUUAGUGGGUUCGAAUUUGGGAUGCCGGUAGUUGAUGUAGGCAAGUCGCCGAACGACUUUAAAAAUGAUUUUGUUCAUCUUGCCUUUGCAUUCAUGCUUUGUUCGAUUAUUGUAUGUCAAAUGUAUGAGAUGUGAUGAAUGGUUAGCACCCACGUACUUCAUAUCCCCAAAGCUUUUGAAGCCUUGACACAUUCGCACCUCAUGAUGUAAACGCGAAUGUGCGACAUAACCAUUAGGAAUCGAACGCGAUACCUCUGAGUGUUAGCUCGUGUACCUGACGUCCGCCCGGAAUGACUAUGCCAUAUGCCCGGAGUAUGGUAAAACUCGAAACCAAGACUUACAUCUUGGAUAGGAUCGCUCUUACCACUUGGGCUAACCUUGUCUUUGGUGUAGGGAUUUUUCUUGCUCUUGCUGGUUUUGGUCUUCUCUCCCUCCCACUUCAAAAUAUUAUUUUGGGUAAAUUCCGCUUACCUCCCCUGAGUUUAUGACAAAUAUAUAAUUACUUUUCUUAGUUUACAAAAUAAAUAUUAACUCCCAUGACUUUUGAAAUAAUUGUUAAUUCGCCUUAAGCUAAAUUUUGUGCAAAAAAGACAGAAGGGGUCAGCAGUGGGAGGGACGUGCAAUUUUGUUCUUAAUAAAACAAUUUUAAAAUAAAUAAAAUAUUUUCUCUUUUUAAAAAAAUGAUAAUAAAAUUUAUUUUUUUUAAGUUAUAUUUAGUAGAGGACUUGAUGAACGUUAAAAUAUUUAGAUAGGUUUUUAAAAAAAAUAGUAAGUAGAAAUUUUUUUGAUAGUAUAUUUUUAUUAAGAAUUAAAAAUUACUUAGAUCAAUCUUUUUAAAAAAAAUUAUUAUUGAUAAGAAAUAAAAGGUAGAAAUAAUUAUAAAUAAAUGGAUUUUGAGGGAAAAAAAUAGAAUAUUUAUUUAUUUUAAUGGGUUUUUUGGUGGGUGGUGGUUGUGUUGUGUUGUUUGUAUUGAGGAAAAAAAAAUUGAAAUCCCUAAACCACAAAGGAAAAAAUUUAUUAUUUUUGCAAAAAUUUAGCUUCAGGCGGAGGGAAUUUUGAUUAGAUAUUAGGUUCUAGAAGUAAUGGACGGUGAGUUAGGAGAGGGAAAAAGAAGAGAAGGGGAAGGGAGGGUGGGAGAAAACCUCAGGGGGGGGAGGUCAGUGAAAUUCACCCAAUUAUUUUUCAACAGUUGGCUGUUUUUCUAUUUUCUGUUCAUAUAGAUGUGAUUUUCCUUAUUAUGUCUCACUUGUAUAUCAAAUUUGUUGGAAAUUAAGUUUGAUAUUUUAAUAAAUAUUAAAAUAAAAGUUGUAUCUUUUUAUUUAAAGUGCCUUUUAGAAUUUAUUUUGAACCAAGAGUUGUCUUUGAAAAGACAUUUCUUUUAUGAAAUGGUGUCUUCAAAUUUAUAAAAGGGACUAUCAUACACAUCAUUUGUAAGGUCAAUUCUAAUUUUAUUUCUAUUAUUCUCCUACCAUAAAUACUAUUUUCAUAUUUCUUAGUAAUUAUGAGAAAGACUUGGUACCCCCGUCUUCCACCGAUCACACUCUAUGAGAUUUAUGGGUUGUAUCUUGGAGUGAUAUUCGACCGUCAGAAUCUGCGCGAAGGGACACGAAUACGAUUUUAGACAAAUACUUAUCAUGAUCUUAUCAGUAUCACACUAGCUAUUUCUUUAUUGGAUAUAAUUAUUAAUUUACGUAAGUUAUGUUUAUUAUUUUUUGUAAAUAAUUAAUAAUUUUUUGGUAUUUUAGAUAAAUGCGUGUGAUAAAUUCUCAAACAAAUUUGUGAUGUAAGAGGGAUGAGUGACUUUUGUAAAUGAUAAAAGAAAACUGUUAUUUAAUAUAUAUCAUUAUAAGGUGACGAAAGUAGCAUUAUUUUUUCGUUUGGUUUUCUUUUAAAAGGGGGGAGACCUCUCGCUACCCGUCAGUGGAAGAAGGGAAAUUUGAUUUUGAAUGUUGGUGGAAACCAUUUUUUCUCGUGAAGUGCGCCGCGUUGAUGGAGUGGAACAUUUUCUCAAAGCUAUGUAAUUACUGUCACCUAUGCAAAUUGCAAUGUUGCCUGAAGUUUGUUGGAUGGUUUGUGCCCUGUGAUCUUGAAUUUUUUUUUUUUUAGAAGGGGGGGGGGGGGGGGGGGGGGGGGGGGGACAAAGAGCAAUGAUUUAAAUAUAUAUUGUAUAAAAAUAAAUCCACUUCACAUACUUAUGCUAUUGUGGCGAUGUUUGGGGUUGAUAAAUUGGAAGAACAUGACUCGUUUUUUGAAUUGUAGUUGUAAGCAAUUGCACUUAGACAUUUUACUUGAUUUUUUUAUCUUUUUUAAAAAAGUACAGUUAUAAAUCUUUUUAACGCAUAGUCUAGUAAGAUUGUGCUUGGAUUACAAUUUGAUGGAGGGAAAGGAGAAGGAAAUAAAAAAAAUUAAAAAAUCAAAUAAUUUAGAUUUAUUUUUAUUUAUUUUUACUUUCUUUUCUCUCAAUAAAUUCCUCCCUAAAUCCUUAAUCUAAAUAUAGCCUUCCCUUUUAAAGUUUUACUAUAUGCUUGCAAGUUUUAGAAACAGUUGCAAUAUUCUGCUGCAUUAUUCCCACUACACUAUCAGUUAGCAAAUCUAUAUGAAUCUAUUGAAAUGUCUCACAUUGUCCUUAUGUCUUCUUAAUGUUGUCUAUAAGGUUCAUAUUUUUUUCUCUUUAAUAUAUGAGUUUUAAGCAGAAAGAUGGGCUGAAUCUGACAAGUAGUAUCAGAGAAAGGUUGGACCUUAAUAAGGAAAAAAAAAUUCUAUCAUUUCAAACCACUCAUUUCAACAUAACUUCAACCAUUUCCUCAAUUUAGCGAAAAUUGCUCAAUUGCUAUUCAAUUUUCAUAUAAAAAAUGCGAUUGUGGUUGCUUGAAUUUAAACUUAUGUUUUUAAGAUUUUAAAGUCCAAACAUUUAUGUAAUAUCCCAACUCUCCUAAUAUUCUUUUUAUACCAUCCCAUAUUUUUUUAAUUUUACGAUAAUUUUUGGGCAAUUUUCUAAAUUGAUUUUUUGACCAGAAUUUUGAACAAAAUGUGCGGGAACACCCAUAUUUUUUCCUAUUCUCUCUUGGAGCAUCCAACCCCUUCUUGUUCAUUCUAUUCCUCAUUCACGAGGUGGGAAUUUAGGAUGAGAUGGUGGCAAAAUUGUCGCAUGGCAUUUAGAGAGAACCCUAAUACCUUUGUUUUCAUGUUUAUAUAUAUAUUGAAAUUGCUUGACAAGAGGAAAAUCGAAAAAAAAUAUUGGCCAAAAAAAAAAACAAUUAAAGAAAAAAUGAGAAAAAAAUAUAUUGUUACGCUUUAUUUGACUUUAAAAAUAAAUUAUAAAAUUAUUUUAGAUAAUUAUAGAUAAAUUUUAAUGUAAUAUUUAAAAUGUAUAUAAUGAAUUAUACAUAUUAUUUUAUUUUUAAGUCAUUUAUAAUAGAAAUUAUUAAAUUUUAUUAAAACUUCAGAAUUCUAAAUAAGAUAAAUGAAAGUAAAAAUUUGGCCAAACUACGGGAACAAAUGAUGCAAUUUACCCGGGAAUAAAGGCAACACAUCUAAACCGUCCAUUCAUUUGAGGAUCGUAAGGUGGCGGAGGCUAGGGUUUCGAACAUUCCGGAUAACCGAGAACAACGCGGUAAUACUCCUAUAAAGCCAUCUCUUUCUUCAUCUCCAAAGGAAUUCCAAAACCCUAGAUUACUGUACCUCUCUCUCUCAGAAGUUAUGGCCGGAAAGGGAGAGGGACCAGCGAUCGGAAUCGAUCUCGGCACGACCUACUCGUGCGUCGGGGUAUGGCGGCACGACCGCGUCGAGAUCAUCGCCAACGACCAAGGCAACCGUACGACGCCGUCCUACGUCGGCUUCACCGACACCGAACGGUUGAUCGGCGCCGCCGCCAAGAAUCAGGUCGCCAUGAACUACAUUAACACUGUAUUCGGUAAGACUCCUCUCUCUUUCUCUCUCUAAUUUUAUUUGGAUCUGUUAGUGGCCAUAAUAUGGUCUACCGGAUCUACUAGUUUG
rnacentral:lncRNA from 1 species